rnacentral:rRNA from 1 species
UACGGGGGGUCCAAGCGUUGUUCGGAAUCACUGGGCGUAAAGCGCAUGUAGGUGGCUUUUCAAGUCAACUGUGAAAGCCCAGGGCCUAACCCUGGAAGUGCAGUUGAUACUGUUGAGCUUGAGUACGAGAGAGGAUAGUGGAAUUCCUGGUGUAGUGGUGAAAUACGUAGAUAUCAGGAGGAACAUCGGUGGCGAAGGCGGCUAUCUGGCUCGAUACUGACACUGAGAUGCGAAAGCGUGGGGAGCAAACAGG